AUGGAUUCGUUGCGGAAUGAUGGCUAUGGAAACAACGACCUUGAUGAAUUCAUAUUCAACGAGUUCAUCGCCUCAUCGGAUUCGGACCAUAGAGAUGCUGAAAUGAUGAUGAUGAUGAUGAGCAUCCGAGAGGAGAUGGAGAAGGCAGAGGAGCACGUCCUAAACUUCAAGGGCUCCAUGAGGGGGCGGAGAGUUAUUUCCCAUGAUAGGUUUUCUAGUGCACGGUUUCUAUACACGGACUACUUCAUGACGGACCCAACAUAUCUUGAAGUUUUUUUUUUCGAUGUCGCUUCUGAAUGA
rnacentral:rRNA from 1 species